GUUUUCACUGACUGAAAGAAAUCCGAAGAGAACUUUCACUUUUAGGGGAAAAACUGCGGGUCUUUCGUAAAAGCGAGGUGGCAUAAGUAAGCUGUGUAACCCCCAAAUUGUGGUUAUCAAUUGCUUAUUGAUUUACUCACUGUGUUCUGGUCUGGCUUCACCGACCUAAACAGGAAAUCCCUAGCUUUGGAUCACAUUGUUCCAAUUUGGGAACUUCGUGGUUUGAAGUUUACGGAGCUUAACGGUAUUUUUGCCUGGUGGAAGUCUACCCUGUCUCUGCGUAGAAACGACCGGCGGUAAAGCCAGGAUUUUCCUCGUGGAGCCACUUUGCGUGCAUUCCAACCGCUGAAAAUGUGCCUAGCAGGUUCAGAACUCUGUGUCAUCGAGUUGAACAGAGACAGUGUGGGCUUGCAACAUAUUCGAAGCUGAUUUUAACAGGCCCCUCAUCAGCUAUGGUGUGGAAACUGAGGCUUAAGGAGAAGUACCUUGCCGAAGUCCGUGUAGACAGCCACUGGUGGAGCUGGUAUUCAAACCCAAGCCAUCACAAUCCAGAGUCUACGUGCUACUCAGUUUCCUCCUUAGUUGAUGAGAAGAGGCUGCCUAUAUAUGAAUAUUCCUCUGACCCCUAAACCAAGUGACAUAAGAGGCUGUGAGAGCUGAGUGAGGACCAUGGCAGGAAAUGGCUGUGCGACAAGUGUUCUUGCCAUUUGGGCCAUUGACUCAGCAGACCCCAAGUUAGUAGAUGCAUCAAAGGUCUCAAGGAAAGUUUUCUACAGUACUGACUGAAAUGGGUCACCAGUUUUUCCUUGUGGGAGGCAACCCAAGACUCUGAGUAUGCUAAGUGAAGUCGGUCAGCUGUUUUACAAGGAAAACACCUGGCACCAAAUCCUGGGCUCUCCAGAGAACUGCUAGCUAAGCCUCUUCCCCAGGGUAAGUUCAGGGAGAAGCGCUAUGAGUCUGAGCUUGCCAGGUUUGUGCAGGCCACACCCAGCAGUUAAUAAGUUGUUCGGAACUCUACUUGCCCCAUCUUAAUAACUAGUUCUUUUCCCAGCUUGUAGGUUCCCAUAAUCAUGUGGCCACUCAAAUGAGAACAGCGAAAACCACUAACAAUUUGGAGACGAGACAGGGUCCAGAAAAGGAAGCAAAGUCAUGAAAAUAUAAAUUUAGCUUGAGGUGUUCCACGAACACCAGGCAGAGACCUAGAAUUAGGGCUUGUUCUAAAUUUCAAAAUUGACAAAAUAGUGGCUUCUCUGAAAGCAGAGUCAUUUGGGUAAGGAAAUCUCUCAAGUAGGCAUCUGGAUGAGCUCAAGGGAAUUGAUUAAAAAUUGCAAAACUUUCGGAAUUCAAAACAAAAGAUGUUGGUCCAUCUGGUGACAACUGGUCAGGACAGUUUGCCAUAACAUAAACCUAUGAAAACCGACCUGCGGGUAGCAGAGGAAACUAGCUUCCUCUACCCCAAAAUGAUGGUUAAGAGCACUUGUUUUUAAGUCAGAACCAGGCCAGCAAUCAGCAGGGGGAAAAAAAAUGUAUAAGUUUGGAGAAGUAAGCAGAAGCCUGGAUGACAUCAACCUUGAAGUCUGGGAUUUCUUCUAAGCCCAAUUAAAAGAUGUUGCAGAAUUUUAGGCAGAAAAGUCGACAUCAUAUAAUUUAUGUUAAUAGAAGUUCACUCUCUCUGGUUAUGGUGUAGAGGAUGGGUGGAUUGCAGGAAUCUGAGGCAAGAAUAAUUGCCAGGACAGAAGAUCAGAGGUUGAUGGCUUGGACCAAGGGAGUAACAGCGGAGAUCUAGACAGGUGGAUGGAUUCGGAGUGUCUUCAGGGGUAAAAUCUAUAAAACAUGCUGACAGAAUAGAAUGUGUGGAAGGGGAACAGAAAAAGAGAAGUGAAGGGUGACUUCUACGUCAAGACAAAGGCUAUAGCACCUGGCCAUUUGUUGCACUAGACAAAGCCAGUGUCUACCCUCUGGGGAAUCUAGUGUGCAUUUGCCCCUUCAUUCCUACAAGGCUGUGCUACCCAGCCCAACUGAGUCAACGCCAUAUACUUUUUCCUAAAUCUUUGCUAAUCUGAGAAAUGAAAAUGAUUUCUCUAUUAUAUUUUUUAAAUUAAUAAUAAGGUAAAACAUUUAUUCAUAUAAUUGUUAGUCAUUUGUGUCUCUUAUAUUUGUUAAUUGUCUGUUCUUUCUUUUCUUACUGGUUUGUGAGAUCUGACCAUCAAUCCCUUGGAUGCCCUUUGUCUCCCUUAGACUUCGAACAUUGCCCUCCUCUUACCUCCCUGACAGUUUCAGCUCUGUUGCCUCUAUUUCUCCAAUAUUCUGCUCUGGCCCUGUUCCCACCUCACCAAGCUUCUGUUCUCAGCUCUCUUAUCUUCUUUCAAUGGUGUUCCUAGAUGAUCUCUUCUAUUUAUAUAAUUCAGCAAUUUCCACUACAUUAAUCAUCCUAAAAUCUCUGUCCAACCAUGACCUCUUUCCAGAUGUUCAAGCCAGUGGUUCCCACUGUAUACUCUGCAUUUUCAUCUCUAUGUCCAGCAAACACCUUUAUUAAAACAUGUCUAACAUAAAUCAGAGGAACUCAUUUCCUCCAGCCAACUUCUCCUUAUUUCCUAUUCCUAUUCACAGUACCAAACUCCACCUGAAUUUCUCAGACUAUCACUUCCUUCAUUCAUUUCUUCAUUUUUUUCAACAAAUAUGUGUAGAGCAUCUGCUAUUUGCCAGGCACUGUGCUGGGCCCUGAAGUUUUUGCUCCCUAAUCUCUUUCCCUCUAUUAAUUAUUUUAUUAAAUCUUGUGAAUUUUCUCUUUGUGAUAACCUCUCAAAGUUAUUACUUCUGUUCUUGUUUUUGUUCCUCUUGCUGCCCUCAUAAUGCCUAGUCUCCCCAGCAGAUGUUUAUAUCUUGUCCAUAGCAAUGCCACAAUCCUUACUCCUCUUACCGGAGCUAGAUGAAUCCCCCUAAAACAGAGUGCUGGUCAUCUCACUUUCUCCUUCAAAAACCAUCUUCGGUAGCACAAUUACAAGUAAAGAAAAAUCUUUAGCCAAUAUUGAUGACCCUCAAACCAUAUCUCUUACUAAUCCCUACUCUCCAUCCAGCUCUCUAUGAAAGCACUUGCAUAUUUGGCUUUCCUCCAACUUUGUCUUAUUACUAUAUUGAAUAUAUUUUUAUUAAGAUAUAACUUAUAUACAUUGAAAUGAAAAGAGCUUACUCAUGCAGUUUGAUCAGUUUUGACAAAUGUAUACGCUCAUGACACUCAUACCACCCAAAUCAAGAUACGGAAUAUUUCCAGUACCCAAAAAGUUCCCUUGUGCUCCUUUCCAGUCAACUCCAACCCCAGCCACAGGCAAAUGCUGUUCUGAUUUCUAUCCACAUAGAUUAGUUUUGCCUUUUCUUGACUUCUCUAUAAAUAAAAUCAUAUGUAAUAUACUUUUUUGGGUCUAGUUUCUUUAGCUAAACAUAAUGUCUAUAGAAUUCGUCCCUGUUUCUUCAUGUGUCAAUGGUCCAUUCCUUUUUUAUUGCUGAGUAGAAUAGCAUGAUGUGAAUAUAUCACAAUCUGUUUAUUCAGUUUCCUGUUGAUAAACAUUUGGACUAUUUCCAGUUUGAGACUUUUAUGAAUAAAGUUGCUAUGAAUAUUCACAUACAAGUCUCUGUGGAACUAUGUUUCAUUUCUUUUGUUUAAAAACUCAGGAAAAGAAUUUGGGGGUUCUGUGGUAUGUAUAUGCUUACUUUAUAAGAGAUUAUUACACAGUGUUUCCAAACGGUUUUGUCACUUUACACUCCUACCAUCAAUGUGUGGGAGUUCUAUUUUCUCCACAUUCUCUCAGAUCUGCUGUUGUAAGUCUUUUUAAUUUAAGCCACUCUAAUUGUUGAUCACAGUGUGAUUUAACGUGCAUUUCCCUGACGACUAAUGAUGUUUACCACCUUCCAUAUGCUUAUUACCAAUUUGUAGAUCUUAUUUUGUGAAAUACCCUUCAAGGUUUUUUUUUCUUCCAGUUUUUAUUGGGUUUAUGUCCUUUUAUUAUUGAUUUGUAGUGGUUCUUUAUGUAUUCUAGAUACAAAUCUUUUAUAAGAUGUAUGUAUUAAAAAUAUUUUCUUCAGUCUGCAUUUUACCUUUGUAUUUUCUUAG